ACGAACGCUGGCGGCGUGCUUAACACAUGCCAGUCGAACGGAAAGGCCCUGCUUUUGUGGGGUGCUCGAGUGGCGAACGGGUGAGUAACACGUGAGUAACCUGCCCUUGACUUUGGGAUAACUUCAGGGAACUGGGGCUAAUACCGGAUAGGAGCUCCUGCUGCAUGGUGGGGGUUGGAAAGUUUCGGCGGUUGGGGAUGGACUCGCGGCUUAUCAGCUUGUUGGUGGGGUAGUGGCUUACCAAGGCUUUGACGGGUAGCCGGCCUGAGAGGGUGACCGGCCACAUUGGGACUGAGAUACGGCCCAGACUCCUACGGGAGGCAGCAGUGGGGAAUAUUGCACAAUGGGCGGAAGCCUGAUGCAGCAACGCCGCGUGCGGGAUGACGGCCUUCGGGUUGUAAACCGCUUUCGCCUGUGACGAAGCGUGAGUGACGGUAAUGGGUAAAGAAGCACCGGCUAACUACGUG
rnacentral:rRNA from 1 species